rnacentral:rRNA from 1 species
UACGUAGGGCGCGAGCGUUGUCCGGAAUUAUUGGGCGUAAAGGGCUCGUAGGCGGUCUGUCGCGUCGGGAGUGAAAACUCAGGGCUUAACCCUGAGCCUGCUUCCGAUACGGGCAGACUAGAGGUAUGCAGGGGAGAACGGAAUUCCUGGUGUAGCGGUGAAAUGCGCAGAUAUCAGGAGGAACACCGGUGGCGAAGGCGGGUCUCUGGGCCGAUACUGACGCUGAGGAGCGAAAGCGUGGGGAGCGAACAGG